GUCGAACGAAGCACUUAAGACGGAUUACUUCGGUUUGAAGUCUUCUUUGACUGAGUGGCGGACGGGUGAGUAACGCGUGGGUAACCUGCCUCAUACAGGGGGAUAACAGUUAGAAAUGACUGCUAAUACCGCAUAAGCGCACGGUCUCGCAUGGGACAGUGUGAAAAACUCCGGUGGUAUGAGAUGGACCCGCGUCUGAUUAGCUAGUUGGUGGGGUAAGGGCUCACCAAGGCGACGAUCAGUAGCCGGCCUGAGAGGGUGAACGGCCACAUUGGGACUGAGACACGGCCCAAACUCCUACGGGAGGCAGCAGUGGGGAAUAUUGCACAAUGGGGGAAACCCUGAUGCAGCGACGCCGCGUGAAGGAAGAAGUAUUUCGGUAUGUAAACUUCUAUCAGCAGGGAAGAAAAUGACGGUACCUGACUAAGAAGCCCCGGCUAACUACGUGCCAGCAGCCGCGGUAAUACGUAGGGGGCAAGCGCUAUCCGGAUUUACUGGGUGUAAAGGGAGCGUAGGCGGUUCAGCAAGUCAGAAGUGAAAGCCCGGGGCUCAACUCCGGGACUGCUUUUGAAACUGUUGAACUAGAUUGCAGGAGAGGUAAGUGGAAUUCCUAGUGUAGCGGUGAAAUGCGUAGAUAUUAGGAGGAACACCAGUGGCGAAGGCGGCUUACUGGACUGUAAAUGACGCUGAGGCUCGAAAGCGUGNGGAGCAAACAGGAUU
rnacentral:rRNA from 1 species